rnacentral:rRNA from 1 species
GAUGAACGCUAGCUACAGGCUUAACACAUGCAAGUCGAGGGGUAACGAGAGGAAAGCUUGCUUUCCUUGUCGACGACCGGCGCACGGGUGAGUAACGCGUAUCCAACCUGCCCCCAACUAGGGAAUAAUCUUGCGAAAGUAAGACUAAUACCCUAUAAUUUCCUCAGAUGUCAUCUGACGAGGAAUAAAGAUUUAUCGGUUGUGGAUGGGGAUGCGUCUGAUUAGCUUGUUGGCGGGGUAACGGCCCACCAAGGCAACGAUCAGUAGGGGUUAUGAUAGGAACGUCCCACACAUUGGUACUGAGACACGGUCCAAACUCGUACGGGAGGCAGCAGUUAGGAAUAUUGGUCAAUGGACGGAAGCCUGAACCAGCCAAGUAGCGUGCAGGAUGACGGCCCUAUGGGUUGUAAACUGCUUUUAUACAGGAAUAAAGUUAGCCACGUGUGGUUAUUUGUAGGUACUGUAUGAAUAAGGACCGGCUAAUUCCGUGCCAGCCGCCGCGGUAA